GUCGAUAUAGCUCAGGUAGUUAGAGCAUCGCACUCAUAAAGCGAAGGUCGCAGGUGCAACUCCUGCUAUCGACACCA
rnacentral:tRNA from 1 species